AUGAUUAAAUCGCUGAAUCCUUUUAAGGAGCGGGGGAACCAUUUUGUAACGUUUUGUUACUUGGGGUGAAUCCUUGAAAAAGGAGGGGCUACUCUCAUAGUCCUAAUCCGACAGCUAACCUCGUAAGCGUUUUGGGAGGGAUGU
rnacentral:sRNA from 1 species